UACUGCACACCAAAAUAAGCAAAGCACAUGUAUAAAUGUAAGAUAUGUGUAACGAAGUAAACAGUCAUUAAUUAGUAAUUAUUUAUAGUUAUUCAUAGCCAUAAAGGUUGUUAAUGAUCAGAAACAGGUUUAAUGUCAGUAAUAAGAAUCAAAAGUGUAAAAGACAAAUUUUUAUUUAUACUAUCUUAUAGUUUGACAAAAAAAGGGGGAAGUUACAGUCAUGUAAUAAUACAUGCUUAAAGCAUGAUCCUAAUAUUACCGGUUAUAAUGGACCCAAGGUUACAAUUAUCUCAAAUUAACAAAAAAUUAUAAAAAUCAUCUAGCAAUGCCCUACCCUUGUUCAUUGGGGUCUCAUUGGGUGGUUCUGAUCCCGGAUCCCGCUUAGGCGCUAACUGUUUUGUCAAAUUCCUGUAACCCGCUUACAUUAUGUACAUAAGCAAUUCUCAUUUUUUUUUCUGAAAUCCUGUGCCUCGCUUGACUUCAUCUCCUGUUUUCAUGGCACAAUAAUUUGACUUUCACCUGUCACGCUUACAAACAAUCGGAAAUCCUGCGUCACGCUUAGACCCAAAUGAGAUUCACUUCAUUGACAUAGUUGUUGAAUAUAAAACACAUUUUAGUUUACAAAUCGAAGGAAAUUUAUCAGUGAUAUAGAGAUUGUCCAACAACGAGCUGCUCGGUAUGUCUGCAAUAAAUACCAUAAUACAAGUAGUGUUAUGAACAUGCUUACUACAUUAUAUUUUCCAUUACUAACAGAAUGUAGGCUACAUACAAGAUAAGUAAUGAUGUACAAAUUAUCAUACCAUCUUGUUGCUAUUCCAUCAGUCAUACUUAUAAAAGCAGACUCAAGAACAAGAAAAAAACAUCCAUACAUAUGGGCAUAUUCAUACAUCAAAAGAUUACUACAGACAUUCAUACUUUCCAUACACAAUACCACAGUGGAACCAGCUCCCUGUGGUACUAGUUCAGGCACCAUCCAUUGAUAGCUUCAAGGAACAGCUCACUUCAGCUGUUCUCUGUUCUAUUAAUUAAAAGCAUUAAUUUAAAUUGUACAUAGUUUUAAUCACAAAUUUGAUAUUUUCAUUGCACUUUAAUUACAUUUUGUUUAAGUUGGGGUAAAGACUUGUAAAUAGUCCAAGUAUGUGAACAGUAUGUAAUCGUCGGAUGUCGAAAAUAAGAAGAAUAAAUAUGGUCUCUUCUUCUUCUUCCUAGUAUGGGAAAGACCCUGUUGUUGAAAUCAUAUGUUUACCUCCGUCAUAUGCAUGCUAUUCAAUGGUAAUUAUGAUGUUACCAUGCAUUCCUAAUUACACGAAAACCCAUGAGAAGAGGAUAUGUUUAUCGGCAGUCUCCAAUUUUCUAGUGAUCCUCCAUUUUGUAACUGCCUAUUAUUAGAUCAUGAAUAGGACUUGAUACUCUUAAAUGUUAGGUAAUCAAAAUGGUAAUGAUGUCACAUAUCAGUGCACAGUGAAAAAGAAGAAAAUUCACAAAUUUGCACUUACAUCUGACUUGAACACCGCUUUCAUAUUCAAAAAAGUUGUUUUAAAAAUAUGGAAAUUCUGCUAGAUUCAACCUUUAGUAUGACAGAUUUAUUCUUUGAAACAAAUAUCUUUUUUAAGAAUGCAUUCAUUUUAACUAACCACUCUUUCUAAAAUUAUUUUUUGUAUAUGGAUAUUAAAUCUACCCAGCAUCAAGAUGCAUUUUCUCCCUUUGAUGAUAAUACAUUUUGUAGUUGGAAUCUUGAUCUAAGCUAAUUUGUGCAAUAUUUGUUUACACAUUUUAUAUCAAUAAUAUAUCAAGUGUUUUAAUCAUCAUGAUCAUUCCUGUAUAAUCCAAAUAUGUGUCUGCGGAAUUGAGUGACCAUUAGCUGGAUUGCCUUUUUAUGCCCCGUUUAUGAUUCCCCAUUUAUGGGCAUUAUGUUUUCUUGUCAGUGCAUUCGUCUGUUUGUCUGACCCGCUUCAUGUUAAUGUUUGUCGAGGUAGUUGAAGUCCAAUCAACUUGAUACUUAGUACACAUGCUUCCUAUGAUGAUCUUUCUAAUAUUAAUGACAUUGAAAAUUAUACUGGGAUGGAUCAUUUGUGUACUAUGGACACAUUCUUGUUUUAUUUAUAUUUUUAUUGAACUAUUCUUUUGUAUUUAUUGUUUUUUUAAAUUCAUUUGCAAUUUUUUUCAGUAAAGUAAAAUGUCAGAAGAAUAUAAAGUAGGGAGCUUGUCUGAUGUCAUCAAGAAAUCAUCAAAAGCAAAGAAGAGGAAAUCAUCAGAAGGAGAAAUAGCCAAGCUAGCUUCAUUGUUUGGUGCACCAGCUAAAAGAUUUGAACCCGAGGCAAGGAUUUAUAAUCCACACUCAGUGGCGGAUCCAGGGGGGGGGUUCCGGGGGUGCGCACCCCCCCUUUAUUUCCGAUCAAUGCAUUUGUAUCGGGACAUAUGUUUUGCACCCCCCCUUUGCCCUGUUUGCCCUGGGUUAGCACCCCCCCUUUCGAAAAUUCCUGCAUCCGCCCCUGACACUCAUUGUACACAGUACAUUUAUUUCAAAUCUGAAAAUUUGAAACUCAACAAAACACAAAUACACAAUUUAUUGAGAACAACUAUGUGGACUAUGACAAAAUUAUGUCUUCCCUUUAGAUAUAUAUCUUUCGACAUCUCCCUGGAAAUGUAACACCUUGAAACACCAUUAAAAUUUCCUUUUGUGCAGAUACCGGUACAUGUGCACACAGUUUAGGAUUACUGUACUUAGUGUACUAUUCAUUUUUUACACCUGUAUAUUUGGGCAAUUCUUCUAAAAUUUUACAUGACAUGCACUAGUAAUACAUAUGGAAAAGUGAGUAACUAAAUUCAUGUAAUAUGUAUGAAAAGAAGUUGUGGUAUGAUUGUCAAUGUGAAAACUCUGAACAAGAGACCAUAUGGCUCAGAAUUUAAAAACUAUAGGUUACAGUAAGACCUGCAACAAUAAAUAAAGCCUCUACCACAUAGUCAGCUAUAAUUAAGCCAGAAAUGACUAAUGUAGCUGCCUAAUUUAUGUAUAUGUACAAAAUAAUGAACCAAUAAAAAUAUAAAACACAGAAACAAAUAGCCAUUACUGAUGUGCAUACAUGUAUACAUUAAAUAUCAUGUUUAAUUCAAAAUCGAGUCCGAGUAUGCUCUCUGAUUAUUCUGAUUGAUCGAUUAUAACUUUCCUAUUAUAGUAUAAUUGCAAUACUGGUUAUCAUUGAUAUUUAUUCUUACUUUGUUUUAUUUAAAUUACAGCCAGUUUCAUAUGUCAGUACAAAGAUCAAAACACAAGAGACUACCACUGUCACUAAAAACAAAGAGAAGAAAAGUCCUAAAAAAAAAAAGACAGGAUUGGACAUAAGUGUACCUACACAGAAUCAAGAAGGGUUUGACCCACCACCAGGGAUAGUUCAUGAAUCAUUGCUGCAGAACACUUCAGAUAGGUAUUCUACUUGAAAACUGUUGUAG
rnacentral:lncRNA from 1 species